CGGGCUGGCCUUCCCCAAAACGACUUCGUUUUGAGCCUGGGAAGGCCACCCAAAACGCUGCAGUUUCAUACCCAUUAUUUAAUCCCCAUUUUUUAUUUUUCUUCAUUUCAGACCUCCCCAUAGAGAAAAAAAAAAAAAAAAAAGAGGUCUCCUCCACUCUCUCAACUCUCCCCAUACUCCAGUGAUAGGGCUUCCCCGGUGUCCGUCGCACCGGCGUCGUUGGCCAGUGGCAGGCGUUGCGCAAAAGGGACUUUUCCGGCGCCGAGGAGACCGACGGAGGUGUCAGACGUGCGACGCGUGGAGAAGGUGGUGUGCGAGGAAGCGGCGGCCAGGGGGUUGGCCUAGCUUGCGGCGGCAGCAAAGUUAGGGUGCUUAAGGAAGCUUGCUGAAUUUUUUUUUUUUUAGGAUAGUUGGCUAGGGUUUUGAAUUGGGCUUAUUUGUAAUGGGUUUUAGUGUUUUUUUAGGCUACUAAUUGGGUUUUAAUUGGGUAUUGGGUUUAUUAUUUAUUUUGUAAUUUGGACAUUGGGUUUCAUUUAUUUUAGGCCCGGGCCAAAAUUGGCCUAUUAUACUAUUUAUUAUAUGCUUUAUUAUUUUUCAA